UCACACUCCUUACUCCUCCACAUCUCUGUCUACAUAACCUAACAAAACAAAACUUAAUUUGGAGGUACUGAAAUACAGAUCGGGGUUGUAGGUGGUACAUCUUUUGUAAAUCUGUGAAGUGUAAUGGCACAGCGAGGUUACUCACCUGCCCUUGGGCGCCCAUGCGGCAGAAUCGCAGUUCUCACUGCUCCUGAGAGAUCCAUUGGGGAGGAACAGGUCAGGGACCAGGGAAUAAAACAAGAUGGCGCCGAGUCCCUGACCUCUUUAUAGAACAUCUGUGUGCCCCACCUACUGGUGGGAGGUGGCCGGUCAUCUGAUCCCAGCUACCUAUUUAAACCCAGCACACCUUCCAGUCAGUGCUUG